GAUCAUGGCUCAGGACGAACGCUGGCGGCGUGCCUAACACAUGCAAGUCGAACGGAACUUCUUUAAAAGAUUUCUUCGGAAUGAAUUUGAUUAAGUUUAGUGGCGGACGGGUGAGUAACGCGUGAGUAACCUGCCUCUAAGAGGGGAAUAACAUUCUGAAAAGAAUGCUAAUACCGCAUAAUAUAUAUUUAUCGCAUGGUAGAUAUAUCAAAGAUUUAUCGCUUAGAGAUGGACUCGCGUCCAA
rnacentral:rRNA from 1 species